UCGAAAAGAACCAAACUUUUAUCCUCUCUCUCUCUUCUUCAGCUUACAAUGGAGUGGCCAUGGUCAGCCAUCGCUGCUUCUUCUUCUCCUUAUUCUUCUAGAUGCUUCUUUACAUCUCCCAACUCUUGCUUGUCUCUUACUAGACGAGCGAAUUUGAACUCUUCGAUUAAACCUUUGCGACACAUCGGAUUCGACUCGAAGCAUCAUAAUCUGAUCACCAAACGUCGAGUCCAUGGAGACUCCAUCGUCCGGAGAAGCACCACAAGCAGUAAAAACGCAGAGGAGACUGAGUCCUCUGUAGAGUGCGUGGGAAUGGGAUCAGACGUGGAGUGCGUCUACACCGGAGAAGGAGAAGACGAGGAGGAGGAGAAUCGGAGCUCCGGAAUCUUGAGCGGAGGAGACGGAUCGUUGCUCGAAUGGGCGGUUCUGAUCUCGCCAUUCUUUUUCUGGGGAACGGCGAUGGUGGCGAUGAAGGAAGUGUUGCCGAUAACCGGUCCGUUCUUCGUGGCUGCGUUCCGGUUAAUUCCGGCCGGUUUGUUGUUGGUUGCGUUUGCGGUUUACAGAGGGAGGCCUUUGCCUAAGGGGUUCGAUGCUUGGCUCUCUAUUGCUCUCUUUGCUCUUGUGGACGCUACUUGUUUCCAGGUCUGCCUUAGAGUUUAGUUGAUUAAGUAUUGUCUGAACAAUAAUAAUAAUAAUAAUUAUUAUAAUAAUAAUGGUGAUGUUUGAUGGUUCAGGGCUUUCUUGCUCAAGGAUUACAGAGGACUUCUGCUGGUUUAGGAAGUGUAAGGAAGCUCUCUCUCUCUGUCUGCUACCUUUGUACUAAUGUCUGUAAUGACCAAAAGUCUGAGACUUUCUUUUCGUGUAGGUUAUAAUUGAUUCACAGCCACUGACUGUAGCUGUAUUAGCAUCUUUUUUAUUUGGUGAGUCCAUUGGAAUAGUGAGAGCUGGAGGUUUGGUUCUUGGUGUUGCUGGACUUUUGCUUCUUGAGGUAAAUAAGAUUUUUAUCUUUCUUAGCCAAGACUGUUCUUGCAAGUUGAGGAUAAGUCUGAUUUACUAUUACUACAGGUUCCAUCAGUUACCUCAGAUGGUGAUAGCUUUUCUUUGUGGGGAAGUGGAGAGUGGUGGAUGCUUCUUGCAGCUCAGAGUAUGGCUAUUGGCACUGUGAUGGUUCGAUGGGUCUCAAAAUACUCGGAUCCAAUUAUGGCAACCGGCUGGGUAAUGAUGUUUUGUCCUUGUCUCUUAGAGUUAUCCUGACAAGAACUAAACUGAACAUGUCUCAAAUUAUAUCUGCAGCAUAUGGUUCUUGGUGGCCUUCCUCUUCUGGCGAUAUCAGUUAUAAACCAAGACCCGGUUUUUAACGGCAGUCUUCAGGAGCUAUCCACAAAUGAUAUCAUAGCACUUCUCUACACAUCUAUAUUUGGCAGUGCGGUUAGCUACGGUGUUUACUUCUACAGCGCUACUAAAGGUUCUAUUUUGCUGCCUUCUCUUGAUAGUAUAUGGCUGCUUUAUGUUUCAGGUCUUUGAUGCUUUUAUAAUGACUCUCUCUCUCUCUCUCUCUUUGCAGGAAGCUUGACUAAACUCAGCUCACUCACCUUUUUGACACCAAUGUUUGCAUCAAUCUUUGGGUAAGGCCACAUGGUUCUUUCUUAUCAGUCUUUGGAUCGUAUUCUGAUAUGUUUGGUUCUGAAACAGGUAUCUGUACCUUGAUGAGACUUUCUCCUCGCUGCAACUGGUCGGAGCAGCCGUCACUUUGGUCGCGAUAUACUUGGUCAAUUUUCCAGAAGGCAACAACUGAUACACUCAGUUUUCAAAGCUUCUUAUGAAUGUUAAAACAUAAUUACGUUCGAUUACAUUUGUAUAUAUAGUUAAGUGAACAAUCAUUAGUCCAGCAAACACCUUUAAUUAAGGUUUCAUCAUAUUAACAUAAGAAAUGAAGUUGCACAAUUCGAUACAACCGAAAACAUAUGAUCUUAGUUCACAAGAAUUACAAUCAGAGAUCGAUCAUAGUCCCAAGCACAGACCAGUUGUCUGCGUAGUUCCCGGUUAACUUGUCUUUUUCUCCUCCGGUUUAGUUUCCAUCCCAUCCAUAUCAGCAACUAGUCUCUCCUCCGGUUUAGUUUCCAUCCCAGCCAGAUCAUCCAUAUCAGCAACUAGUCUCUCCACAGGCACCUUGCUCACAUCCCAUCGCAUGCCAAUGUCUGAAACCAAACGACUGGCGCAGUACAUCCCAUAUCCCGCCACAGCCAAACUACCAAACCCCGCAACAAACCUGAGUGGUGAAGAGAGCACAACGCUGGCAGCUGCAACAAUCGAAGCGGCUUGACCACUCCUUCCCACGUCAGUGUUCGCCACAAGCAAACCAGUUUUGCAAUAGAUGGCGAAAUCCUCGCAGUUGUUCUUGAAAACAUUGUAAACGCCGAAACCGUUUCGCAAGAGGAAGUUCGCUCGGUGGAUGACUUCUUCCGGAGGAUCCGAAUCUCCUAUUGUGCAUGUGCCGCCUCGAGGCUUGGCGAGAAAGAUAGCGGGAGAGACGCUGUACUCGAAGACGUAGAGAUCACCUCCAGCGAGGAAGCAGUUGAGACAGGAAGAGAUCACACCACCAACCUUGGUUCUAUCACCACAGUUAGGACACGGGGUGUCCCCAUGAUUAUGGGAUGAACUGACAAUGAGGUUGUCCAAGAAAGUCCCGGUUCCAGUCUCUUGACCAUCCCCACGAGUGAAAUGGUUGACUUGUCCUUCACCCACAUAGAUUCCUACAAAUCACACACACAUCACAAAGAAGAAAAGAUCCCAAAACGAUCUUAUUAGUCUAAAGCAACACUUUUAUCUACAAACAUAAUGAGUCCAAGGGGAAGUUAAAUAAGACUGCGCCAAGAACAAUAUAGCAUGAGCAAAACUUCAAACUUGUUCCUCUUAACACACUAGGAUUCACUUCAGGCCUAUUCAUCUAAAUACACACAGCUAAAUGGACUCCAAAUCAUAGCAUCGUUGGAGUCUACAGAAUGAGCCUUGAGCCUUGAGCCUCAUCGAGUCUAAAACAAGUUAGCUAUACCAUUCACAUUCCCUUACAAUGAUCAAAGGAUCACUUUAACAUUCAUAUCAACGAAUCUAAUCAGUUAUUCUACAAUUGAUGCAGCUACAGUUUCAAUUGGAUCAUCUAGCAUGUAGUACAUUGUACGCAUCUGUAACGAGAGAGAGAGAUCGUGAUACCGUGAUGAGCGUAGACAUAGGCCUGACGCCAUGAAUAGAUGUGAUCGCCUGGCUUCACUUCAUCUCUGGCAAUCGCAGGAGAGGAAACGUUAGUCCGUAAGCAGCUUCUUCCGUCUGGAGAAUCUUACGUAUCAGAUCAGUUCCAGCUGUUAUGUUACCCCAUUGAUCACUCCCACCUAUCUGAACAUUGACCCCUUCCUUGUCAAACAAGUGAACAAAGUCAUAGCCUUGCAGUAACUGAUAGCUGAACUCGGUGUAGCUCAUCCCCUGCUCUGAUUCCAAUCUCUUCUUCACACUCUCCUUCGCCAUCAUUACUCCAACCCUCGCAAACCGACCAACCUUUUUCAGAAAGUCCAGCAUGAUCAUAUCUUUCCACCAGUCAUAGUUAUUAAAAAUCACAUAAGAGCUAGCAUCGCCACCAAGAAUCUUGACGAGGAUGUUUUUAAUACCGGCGAUGUUUUUCUCCAAUGUAACGGCGUCAAGCUCAGGUCUUUCUAGGCUUUUACCAGAUGGGUCACCAACCCUUCCAGUGGCGCCACCGAUCAAACCAACGGCUUGAUGUCCACAUCUCUGGAACCAAGAAAGGACAAUGAUACCAAGCAGGUUACCCAAGUGUAAACUCUCAGCCGUUGGAUCAAACCCGCAGUAGACCUUUAGAGGAGCUACGUUGGGAUCAGAACAAGCAGACCUGAGAUUCUCGCUGGUGACUGACUCCAGGAGUCCUCUUUCUUGGAGUAUAUCGACUACAUUAGGGCGAGAAACAGCUUGAACUUCUGUCUCAAGAGUUGAGCACUUAACAGGUGCGAACAGAGGAGUUGUAGACGUGGAGAAAAGGUGAUGAAUUUGGUGCCUUCUGAAGAAAGUGGUGGAGGAUUUCUCAGGAAAACUGAGUAAAGAAGCCACACGCAAGGGAGAUAAGAAGGUUUUUGAACAAAUAGGGAUGAGACUCCUUGAAGCAAGCGUCAUUCCUGUUGUAUAUGCCAUAGGUUUAUCAUAUGAUGAUGAUACCUUUCUUGAACAGAGGAGCUGUUACCUACAACUAAACAUUAAAUAGAAACACCAUCAGCUAAAAAAAUGGUGAAUUACCGAUCUCUCUGCUAGUAAAUAGACUAUUUUAUUAGAUAAGGAAACAAAGCUAGCUGCAAAACAAAAACAAUUCUCAGGGAGUCAAUUUGACGAACACCUUAUGGGCAUUAACAAUACAGUCCCACAUUACUCCAUGAAAACACGGAAACACUAUCGUUCAAUCUCCAAAACUGUAAAAAAAUUUAAAAGGAAUCCCAAAAGAUUACACCAAGAACUAUAAAGGAAUCAUCAUUGCAUCUCACACACUAAUGCAUUCCAAGAACAGAGCGAAAGAAACUACUUGAGAGGAACAAACAAAUUAAUAUGUAUACUGCAUAACACACACCUAAAAUGGAUAAAGAAUCAAACUUUGAGAAGCAAAGUGCUUACUGGUUUUGUAGCUCUGGGAAUGGAUUUUGUUUUCUACCUUUGCUUUGCCCCACACACAGACCAAAUGCUUUGAGAAACAUGAUAAACCGAUUAAUCUCCGGUCUAAAUUCAGACAUACUAAACCGGUCUGCUUUUUUUAAUUUAAUUUUGUCGUUCCACUGAGUGAAUAAAAUAUUUAUUUACAUGUUUCUCUGAUGAAAAUAAAAAUUCGAUAUUUUCUCAAAAACAAAAAAAAAACAUGUGGUCGUUACUUGUCUGUUAAACUCGAAAAGAACCAAACUUUUAUCCUCUCUCUCUCUUCUUCAGCUUACAAUGGAGUGGCCAUGGUCAGCCAUCGCUGCUUCUUCUUCUCCUUAUUCUUCUAGAUGCUUCUUUACAUCUCCCAACUCUUGCUUGUCUCUUACUAGACGAGCGAAUUUGAACUCUUCGAUUAAACCUUUGCGACACAUCGGAUUCGACUCGAAGCAUCAUAAUCUGAUCACCAAACGUCGAGUCCAUGGAGACUCCAUCGUCCGGAGAAGCACCACAAGCAGUAAAAACGCAGAGGAGACUGAGUCCUCUGUAGAGUGCGUGGGAAUGGGAU
rnacentral:lncRNA from 1 species